UACAGAGGUCCCAAGCGUUGUUCGGAUUCACUGGGCGUAAAGGGUGCGUAGGUGGCCAGGUAAGUUCGGUGUGAAAGCUCGGAGCUUAACUCCGAAAUGGCAUUGAAUACUAUCUGGCUAGAGGGUCGGAGGGGAGACUGGAAUUCCCGGUGUAGCGGUGAAAUGCGUAGAGAUCGGGAGGAACACCAGUGGCGAAGGCGGCCAUCUGGCUCAACAUUGACGCUGAGGCACGAAAGCGUGGGGAGCAAACAGG
rnacentral:rRNA from 1 species